rnacentral:rRNA from 1 species
UCACAAACGACUCUCGGCAACGGAUAUCUCGGCUCACGCAUCGAUGAAGAACGUAGCAAAAUGCGAUACUUGGUGUGAAUUGCAGAAUCCCGUGAACCAUCGAGUUUUUGAACGCAAGUUGCGCCCGAAGCCUUUUGGCCGAGGGCACGUCUGCCUGG